AUUACGGCGCGUUGGCCCAGCGCCGCGGAGCGCCGCGGAUGACAGCGGCGAAACACUCUGUCUUCCUGCUUUGAGGACAGCUGAAGUCUUGCCACUUCUUCUGGAUGCUCUGACCAUCAGUAAGAGACACGGUCUGACUUUGUUACCCCGGCUGGAGUGCAGUGGUGCAAUCAUGGCUCACUGCAGCCUUAACCUCCUGGGCUCAAGUGAUCCUCUCGCCAAGGCUAGGAUAAGUAGCUAGGACUACAGAUGCGCCCCAUCACGCCCAGCUAAUUUUACAACUUCUGUAGAGAUGGAGUGUUGCUGGGUUGCCCAGGCUGGUCUUGAAUUCCUGGGCUCAAGCGAUCCUCCUGUGUCCGGAAUUGGUGGGUUCUUGGUCUCACUGACUUCAAGAAUGAAGCCGCGGACCCUCGCGAGUCUGUAUCCACCAGCUACUCUUCCAGAUUCAUGAGGCAAGGCCUGCCUGCUCACCUGGCUGGCCCCAAGCACCUCUUCAACCUGUUGCCACCGUCCUGCCUUGCUGCCCUUCUCAGCUCAUCCAGCAGGGUCUCCAAGUCGUGGAAACAGAAGCACAUAUACACACAUGCUCAUAUGUACAUGCCCACAGUCACAUAAGCACACCGAGAAACACCAUCGCAGACAUGUUCUCACAAGCACAUGUGCAUAACACUCACUACCCCUCACGCGUAUACACAUUAAUACACACACUCAUGCACACUCAGUCUUACACACACAGACACACAGCCAUAAUCACUGUUGUUGGUUGAAUUGUGCCCCCCCAUCCC
rnacentral:lncRNA from 10 species